GUAUGGAGCAAGCGUUAUCCGGAUUUACUGGGUGUAAAGGGAGCGUAGGCGGUCCUGCAAGUCUGAUGUGAAAGGCCGGGGCUCAACCCCGGGACUGCUUUGGAAACUGUGCAGCUAGAGUGUCGGAGAGGUAAGUGGAAUUCCUAGUGUAGCGGUGAAAUGCGUAGAUAUUAGGAGGAACACCAGUGGCGAAGGCGGCUUACUGGACGAUGACUGACGUUGAGGCUCGAAAGCGUGGGGAGCAAACAGGAUUAGAUACCCUGGUAGUCCACGCCGUAAACGAUGACUGCUAGGUGUCGGGUAGCAAAGCUAUUCGGUGCCGCAGCUAACGCAAUAAGCAGUCCACCUGGGGAGUACGUUCGCAAGAAUGAAACUCAAAGGAAUUGACGGCCGUC
rnacentral:rRNA from 1 species